UAGAGCUUAGAAAUCAGCAAGUGCACUGGUCUUUUAGAAGAAAUCUGUUUUCUAUUCUAGUUUAUUCCCACAGAACAGAAGACCUGUAAAGGAUUCACUAUCUAAAGUCAGAUUUAAUGGUGUGUCCCCAAGUGUUUUGUUUCCAGUAUAGCAGUCUAGCCUACCUACAGUUCACCUCAGCUUCUGAUCUCUCCACCUCUCAUGCAGGGAUUCCAACACACCCAGUUUCUAUGAUGAUGAGGACCGAAUCCAGGCCUUUUUCACUUUAGCCAGGCAUUCUAUUAACAGAUUUUUUAUCUAUCCCUGUUUCCUCCUAAGUGGUUUUGAUAUUUUUUUGUUUGUUUGUUUUCAGUUUUUGUUUUUUGUGUUGUUGUUGUUGCUUUUGUUUUUCGAGACAGGGUUUCUCUGUGUAGCCCUGGCUGUCCUGGAACUCACUCUGUAGACCAGGCUGGCCUGGAACUCAGAAAUCCGCCUGCCUCUGCCUCCUGAGUGCUGGGAUUAAAGGCGUGCGCCACCACCACCCAGCCUUUUUUCAGUUUUUGGAGCAGGAUCUUCCCUUAUAGCCCAGGCUGAUCUUGAGCUCUUCUGUGCUAGUAUUACAGGCUUACACCAACACAUACGGCUGGAAACAGAAUGUUAAUGGUUGCUAUUAUUGUAGCUUAGUACUACAUGCAGCAAGUACUAAGCAGGAAUUUUUCUGAAGACAUUGUAGGCAGACAACAUAGAAUUGAUACUUAAAUCAGCUUAGAUCCAUCUAGGGUAUGGAGUUUAUUCAACUAAGAGAGGCUGUUACUUUCUAAAGUUAUUGGUUAUUGAAGGAAACAUAUGUUCAGACAUUUGGAAAGUGGCCAGUUUUCCUUUAUACUGAAUGACUGAAUUGAGAAUCAGAAAAUCAGAAAUUUAUAGUAUAUGUUUAGUUAGGUCUUUUUUUUUCUCCAUUUAAGUUAUGAAUGUUCUGUAGUUUGGACUGACAGUCUAGUGCCAUACUGACAUACUAGAAAGCUUGUAAUGAAGGUUUUAGUUCAAAGGUUUAUGUUCACUGAUGGUUUCAAAUAGGGAAUUGGCCAGUUAGUGAUGGUCAUUUUCUAAGGAGGGACAAAUUCAGUUUUUGCUUUGGGGCUGUGCUAAUAGCUAUUAACACUUUAAUAGAAAAAUCUGGAGUUGAGAGCU
rnacentral:lncRNA from 1 species